CCGUCGCCACCAUCGCCGUUUCUUUCCCCGCUGUCCGCAAUUCCGGCCAGUUCUGAAUGGGGAACAUCCUCAGUUUCACAGCUGCAGCUGCAGAUCUGAAUGUCCAUCCAGAUCCAGGGAAACUGUGCCGAGGCGUCGACGGCGGCAGCAGCAGCAGAACAGCAGUCCAUGAGCUCGAAGCGUUGAGCAUUCUGGCUUUCAGAGCUUUACUACGCCACCACAUACAACUGCUGAGCAUUCUGCUUUGCAGGGCUAUCCAUGCCAAUACCAAGGGAGUAGCGGCCGACGAUCGGUCCAAACUGUGUGGCAUUCUCACCUGUCGACUUAUAAUAUCCGACUGCAUCAUCCGUCACGACCCAAAGGAACCACACGUUGUUGAUCUGUGGAGUUGCCAUCCGAGGAAAAUCCACAGAGGGAGAAGCAGCAGAAAAGCAAGCCAUCGAUUUGAACCGUUGAACCAUCCUUGGAAGUCAUGGACUAUCCCUUCAUAAUUUCCUUUGGUUUUCUAUCUUUCAGAUUCCCCGUUUGAUGCAUCACGGAUGUGAGUUUUCUCAGAUGAGAUAUUUACAGUUGAGGUUGGUCUAUGUUGAAGAAUUUGAUACCUUAUCUCUGAUCUCUUUUAUGAGGUGUGCUCCUUUCAUUCAGAAGUUAGAGCUGCAGUUUUGUUUCCCUGGUUACGUGCGUUUGGCACAAGAACUUGAACCUAUCAGGAAGCUACCGGAGCAUCCGUUCAACAAUUUGAAGAGUUUACAUGUCACAGGUUUUAAAGCGUGCAUUGGCCAAGUUGAGCUCCUUUCGCACAUGGUGGAAAAUGCCCCUGCAUUGGAGGUUUUAAGUAUAGAUAAUUCAGACAAAUAUUCCCUAGAAGGGCGUGAAAAGAACGGAAAAACUGGUGUUGACUUGGUCCAUAGAAUUGUAUCUUGAAGGAAAGAUUUCGCCCAAGUGCACCUUAAUAUUACUUUAGGAGAUCUGUUGGUGUAAGGAUGCACACUGCAUAUCUAGUUAGGGAUGGCAAUUCUGAUGAGGCAGCAUCAUUGUUUACUGCUAUGUAGACUUGUGCAUUGUGACUUGGUUCUGCACGGGGCAUUAUAAAUAUUGAAUGAA